UAUAAUGAUGAUUAAGUCUAGAUGGGAAUCUCUCUGAUGCACCUUUUAAAUUGUUAAUGAUGUUUGUUUUGUGCCGGUGAUG